GAGUUUGAUCCUGGCUCAGGACGAACGCUGGCGGCGUGCCUAAUACAUGCAAGUCGAACGAACUCUGGUAUUGAUUGGUGCUUGCAUCAUGAUUUACAUUUGAGUGAGUGGCGAACUGGUGAGUAACACGUGGGAAACCUGCCCAGAAGCGGGGGAUAACACCUGGAAACAGAUGCUAAUACCGCAUAACAACUUGGACCGCAUGGUCCGAGUUUGAAAGAUGGCUUCGGCUAUCACUUUUGGAUGGUCCCGCGGCGUAUUAGCUAGAUGGUGGGGUAAUGGCUCACCAUGGCAAUGAUACGUAGCCGACCUGAGAGGGUAAUCGGCCACAUUGGGACUGAGACACGGCCCAAACUCCUACGGGAGGCAGCAGUAGGGGAUCUUCCACAAUGGACGAAAGUCUGAUGGAGCAACGCCGCGUGAGUGAAGAAGGGUUUCGGCUCGUAAAACUCUGUUGUUAAAGAAGAACAUAUCUGAGAGUAACUGUUCAGGUAUUGACGGUAUUUAACCAGAAAGCCACGGCUAACUACGUGCCAGCAGCCGCGGUAAUACGUAGGUGGCAAGCGUUGUCCGGAUUUAUUGGGCGUAAAGCGAGCGCAGGCGGUUUUUUAAGUCUGAUGUGAAAGCCUUCGGCUUAACCGAAGAAGUGCAUCGGAAACUGGGAAACUUGAGUGCAGAAGAGGACAGUGGAACUCCAUGUGUAGCGGUGAAAUGCGUAGAUAUAUGGAAGAACACCAGUGGCGAAGGCGGCUGUCUGGUCUGUAACUGACGCUGAGGCUCGAAAGUAUGGGUAGCAAACAGGAUUAGAUACCCUGGUAGUCCAUACCGUAAACGAUGAAUGCUAAGUGUUGGAGKGUKUCCGCCSUUCAGUGCUGCAGCUAACGCAUUAAGCAUUCCGCCUGGGGAGUACGGCCGCAAGGCUGAAACUCAAAGGAAUUGACGGGGGCCCGCACAAGCGGUGGAGCAUGUGGUUUAAUUCGAAGCUACGCGAAGAACCUUACCAGGUCUUGACAUACUAUGCAAAUCUAAGAGAUUAGACGUUCCCUUCGGGGACAUGGAUACAGGUGGUGCAUGGUUGUCGUCAGCUCGUGUCGUGAGAUGUUGGGUUAAGUCCCGCAACGAGCGCAACCCUUAUUAUCAGUUGCCAGCAUUAAGUUGGGCACUCUGGUGAGACUGCCGGUGACAAACCGGAGGAAGGUGGGGAUGACGUCAAAUCAUCAUGCCCCUUAUGACCUGGGCUACACACGUGCUACAAUGGAUGGUACAACGAGUUGCGAACUCGCGAGAGUAAGCUAAUCUCUUAAAGCCAUUCUCAGUUCGGAUUGUAGGCUGCAACUCGCCUACAUGAAGUCGGAAUCGCUAGUAAUCGCGGAUCAGCAUGCCGCGGUGAAUACGUUCCCGGGCCUUGUACACACCGCCCGUCACACCAUGAGAGUUUGUAACACCCAAAGUCGGUGGGGUAACCUUUUAGGAACCAGCCGCCUAAGGUGGGACAGAUGAUUAGGGUGAAGUCGUAACAAGGUAACC
rnacentral:rRNA from 2 species